ACAAGCGGCGGAGCAUGCGGAUUAAUUCGAUGCAACGCGAAGAACCUUACCAAGGCUUGACAUACACCGGUAACGCCCAGAGAUGGGUGCCCCUUUGUGGUCGGUGUACAGGUGGUGCAUGGUUGUCGUCAGCUCGUGUCGUGGGAUGUUGGGUUAAGUCCCGCAACGAGCGCAACCCUCGUCCUAUGUUGCCAGCGGGUCAUGCCGGGGACUCAUGGGAGACUGCCGGGGUCAACUCGGAGAAGUGGGGAUGACGUCAAAUCAUCAUGCCCCUUAUGUCUUGGGCUUCACGCAUGCUACAAUGGCCGGUACAAAGGGCUGCGAUACCGCGAGGUGGAGCGAAUCCCAGAAAGCCGGUCUCAGUUCGGAUUGGGGUCUGCAACUCGACCCCAUGAAGUCGGAGUCGCUAGUAAUCGCAGAUCAGCAACGCUGCGGUGAAUACGUUCCCGGGCCUU
rnacentral:rRNA from 1 species